GAGGGACGAAGAAAGAAGGAAGGUAUUUGCGAGCAUAAGGUCCUGAGGAACUAACUUUUCCUUUCAGAAAGAAAACUCAGAGGCUUUUUGUGUGUUGGUGGAAAUAAUCACAGAGACAGGAAAGCACAGUUGAGGAGAGGGUGAGCGUUGGCAUGGAGCCCUGGAGAGGCAGGUGGGGUUGGCAUCUGGUGCACAGCCGGGUGGAGUGGUACAUGCCUACAAUCCCAGAAGGCAGAGGAGGACAAACAGGAAGCAACCCAAGAAGACACAGUGAGCUGGACUUGUUGGCAUCUGGUGUAAUCGCAGCCCUGGGGACGCUGAGGCAGGAGGAUCUCCGGCAAGCUUGGAUUGUAUAAUGAGACCAUUUUCAAAUUAAAAAACAAAACAAAGGAACAUCAACAAGAACAACAAAAUCCCAAAGCACAAAUGGAACUUCCCUGUGUGGAGGGAAAAACCCCUCAUAGUUGAACUUCCCUGUGCCUAGACCUAAGGGGCACAUGGAUUACCUGAGAGGGGAAACACAUGUCCUUAGAGGCUGUUUCUGGUCAGAGCAGGAAAGUGACACAGACUAUCAGAAAUGAGGCUGAGAAUAUGGGAGUAGGUUUCACCUGAGAUUCAGACAGCCACGAGAAAAGGGGGGCUGGGAAAAGGGCAGUCUGAGAAGAGCAGUGAGUACCUGGGCUGAUAGAGGACAGAGGGUUUUGAGUCCCAGAAGAGGAUUUGUAAGACCAGGACAAAACGAGAGGGACAGAGGCACGGGAUGGGUGUGGGGCAGAGAGGAGAGAGUUCUUCAUGCUGGUUAAAGGUGGUGUGAGGUCUCUGGAACAGAUCUUCCUCAGAGCAGAUAUGUCUCUGUCUCCUUCGGGUAGAGAAUUUAUUUAUUUUUGGGGUUGGGGGUAAUGAACCCAGAGUCUUGGCCACACUAAUCCCAUUUCUACCACUUAAUGCUUCACAGAGCUGAUACUGAUACUAAACCACAAAUACCACAGUGAGAGAGAAUCGUCCAAAAGUAGACUUGUGCGUGACAAUACCACAUUUGUUUGCAUGACAAUACCACGCAAUAAAGUUUGCCCUCAAAAAAUAGAGCUUAAAGGGUGCAAUUUGGGGCUGAGGGUGGGGGACACAAUGGGUUAAAUGUGUAGGACAAAAUAAAACUAGGUUUUCAAAACCUGUGCCGAUCAAUUAACAAACUAGUGUUCAGCUGGGGAUGGGGCUUGGCUGGUAAAACCUGCACACGGAAAGCCUUGGGUUGGAUUCUCAUCACUAUAUAAAACGGGGUAUGGUGCACACCUAUAAUCCCAGGGCUCAGGAGGUAGGAGCAUCAGGAGUUCAAGGUCAUCCUUAACAACCUAGCAAAUUUGAGGUCAGCCUGGAUUAUAUGAAACUCUUGUCUCAAAAUAAAAUCAGCUGUAGAGAUGUCCCAGCAUCCAGAGUGCUUGCUCUUUCUCAGGAACAGUAUUCAAUUCCCAGCAUUCAGUGACUCCCAACACCAGCUUGCAACUCCGGCUCCCGGGGAUCUGGCGCCCUCUUCUGGCUCCCAUGAACACUGUGCAUGCACAUGGCGCACAUACACUCACGGUGGCAAAACACUCCAAACAUUCACAAAAAUGUGGCACUGCCCUAGAGUCACUCGUAGGCAGCCCGUUGACUUUCAGCAGAAACUGCUAAAUCAUGAAUUGACUUUGCCAACAAACGAUGUCUGAGGUAGUGUCUCAGCUGGAAGCAAAACGAUCCUUUCUCUUCCACCACGUGAGCUCUGUACCAGUCACCAGCCUCCAUUUAUGAACCGAAACCAUCAAUCUUCUUAAAGACAAUUCUAAGAACACAAACUAUAACAAUUGCUAGGUUGGGUUUCAUCAAAAUUAAAAACUGGGCUGGUGCAGAGGGUCAGACAUUUGGCAUCAAACCUAGUGACCUGGCUUUGAUCCUCAGGACUCGCACGGCAGGAGACAACCAAGUCCUGAGAGCUGUCCUCUGAUGUCCACAUUCAGGGCAUGGCGCAUGCACUCCGCUUACCCACCUGUCCCCUGCCCUGAGAGUAAAGAAGUGUAAACAUUUCAGGAAUUAUCCAGGGGACCAGAUGCCCUCCUCUGACCUCCCUGGGUACAUUUGGGCACAAAUGUUAACAUAAAAACCAGGUAAAAAGGGAUGUGCAAAACAACUCUAGCCUUUAAUCUCAGCAUUCAAGAAGAAGAGUUAGGUGGACCUCUGAGAGUUCAAAGUCAGUCUGAUCUACAUAGUGAGUUUCAAGACAGCCAGUAAUAUAUAGACUCUCUCAAACAAAACAAAACGAAAAUAUAUUUUAAAAUUUUAAGUUACAAAAACUCUUACGGCAGUCUGGAUUUAACAAUCCCCCCCCCCCUCCACAAGCCAUCUCUCCAUCCCCUAAAGACAGUCUUUAUAAGAUUAGGGACGUUUCUUUCCAUUUCUGGUUUGGCAAAAUACUUUUUAAAAUUACUCACCCAUUUAAUCCAAUCAGUGCUGGAUUGUGGCUGGAACUCUCUCUGUCUCUAUUGAGAUAACCAGCCGAGUUUUCUCCUUUUGAAGUCUGUCCUGAUCAAUUCACACAGACUGCUUUUUGAACAUUAACCAAACUUUACAUUCCUAAUGCAAAUAUGGCUUGGUGGUCAGUCCUUUGAGUAUCCCUUUGUGUCUGUCAAAUUCUGUUCGUUAAACUUGUUUGGGAAUUUCAUAGCUGUGUUCAUAAACAAAGCUGGCCCUUAAGUCUCCCUUAUUGAUCUUCAGAUUAGAGUCAGGGCCAACGCUGACUCUGUAAGGUGAGUUAAGGAUACCUUCUGUUCUUCAGAUGGAAAUUCCUAAACUUAUGGAAAAAGUGCAAUGGUGGUCUAUUUUCCCCUUGAAUACUCAACAUAAUGCAAAAGAGAAACCAUCUGAACUUGUAGUGUUCUUUCUGGGAAGACUUUUUUUUUUUUUUUUGGUUCUUUUUUUCGGAGCUGGGGACCGAACCCAGGGCCUUGCGCUUCCUAGGUAAGCGCUCUACCACUGAGCUAAAUCCCCAGCCCC